CAACAACAACAACAACAGCAAAAAACCUCCAAAUCCCUGCCUCCAAACACUUUUAUCUCCUGCCAUAUGAAGCUUUAAAGUUAAAACAGAGGUUAAAAAAAAAAAAAAAAGUGCAGGGGUACAAGCACAUCAAACUAGCUCCAAACCCUGGCUCCACCACUUAGUGGUAUGACCUUGGAUAAGCCCCCGAUGUCUCUAAACCUCAGUUUUCUCAUCUGUACAGUGGGAAUAAUAGUAUUCCAGAUCUAUAAUCCCUUGUCAGCAAUUCAGAAAUCCAGUGGGCUCUGAAAAACAGGUUUUUUGUUUUUUUUUUACGUUUGCAGGAAAUUCAUUUGAUGGUAAAACCUAACCUGAAAGUUUAUGAGACUUUAUAUAAUCUAGUUUUUAUUUAUCCCAUUAAGCACGAUUAUCCAUAUGUCGGCUGCAGAAAUAUCAGUGUCUAAUGAUGGAUGUCACCCCAGAUCUUGCUGAGAGGUGUUAUGAAAAAUACAGUACAUGCACAGAUUUGCCCCUUAAAAACAUGAACACUUUGGAAUUCUGAAACAUACCUGAAUCUGAAUGGAACCAGGUAAGGGAUUGGGACCUAUACCUUGGGGGGUUGGAAAUAUAGUGAGAUAAUGUGUGUGAAGUGCUUGUCACAAUGCCUGGCACUUUGUAAGUGCUCAGGAAAUACAAACAAUAAUUUAUUAUUUUAAAACACUCAAAUGAGUGAUUCUUGUCAUGUUCUUUUCACUCUGGAAUUUGCCCAGGAAACCACAAACUCCGAAGCUCUGACUCCCUGUUCAGUGUCACCCCAAGAGUCCACACUUUUGGAGGAAGAACCUCCCUGACCUGAGCCCCGGGACUUGAGAAACACCAAGCGUAAGACAUCAUCAACCCCCGGGUGUUCUGAAGCCCCACUCCUUUUCUCUUUCUUGACCAUUGUUGCUGAAUGUGAAGAUCCCCACCUUUCCUGCCCUCCUGGGGACCUUAGGAAUUCUGCUCCUCAUUGCAGGUUGAACUCCAUCCAAACUUCAGGACCCAUCCUGUCCAUGACAAGGGGACAUUCAAGAAACUCUUACAUUCAUGGGUUUUGUACUCAUAGUUCUGUCUACUCUGGUGUGACUUGAUCUAGUCACCCAUAAGUUUGCUAUGAGAAGAGUUUGAAUCCUCAGCCUUCAGACAGAAGCAUGAGUCAGUGACUCAGCCGCAGGGUGACUUUGGCUUCUGACAUCCAGUAGCCCCACCUUGGUGCAUGUUCCUGGUUCUUUACACCUUAUGGCAUGGACAGUUGUCAUCAUACACUCAACAGUCUUUCCCAAAAUGGGUGGUCAUGAAGUUGGAGAUUUCCAAACAACACGGCAUGUCUCUUUCAUAAAUAUGAGUUAAGCACAUGAAAAUUGGAUUCAGGGGCCGGGCGCGGUAGCUCAUGCCUGUAAUCCCAGCACUUUGGGAGGCCGAGGUGGGCAGAUCACGUGAGGUCGGGAGUUCGAGA